AUUGAACGCUGGCGGCAUGCCUUACACAUGCAAGUCGAACGGCAGCAUGGAAGAGCUUGCUCUUCUGAUGGCGAGUGGCGAACGGGUGAGUAAAGCAUCGGAACGUACCGUGUAGUGGGGGAUAACGUAGCGAAAGUUACGCUAAUACCGCAUACGCACUGAGGUGGAAAGCAGGGGAUCGCAAGACCUUGCGCUAUACGAGCGGCCGAUGUCAGAUUAGCUAGUUGGUAGGGUAAAGGCCUACCAAGGCGACGAUCUGUAGCGGGUCUGAGAGGAUGAUCCGCCACACUGGGACUGGGACACGGCCCGGACUCCUACGGGAGGCAGCAGUGGGGAAUUUUGGACAAUGGGGGAAACCCUGAUCCAGCCAUGCCGCGUGGGUGAAGAAGGCCUUCGGGUUGUAAAGCUCUUUCGGCUGGGAAGAAAUCGCACAGGCUAAUACUCUGUGUGGAUGACGGUACCAGCACAAGAAGCACCGGCUAACUACGUGCCAGCCGCCGCGGUAA
rnacentral:rRNA from 1 species